UACGUAGGCGGAAAAUUAAGUCAGUAGUGAAAUCCCGCAGCUUAACUGUGGAACUGUUAUUGAUACUGGUUUUCUUGAAUAUAGUUGAGGUAGGCGGAAUGUGUAAUGUAGCGGUGAAAUGCUUAGAUAUUACACAGAACACCGAUUGCGGAGGCAGCUUACUAAGCUAUGAUUGACGCUGAGGUACGAAAGCGUGGGGAGCGAACAGGAUUAGAUACCCUGGUAGUCC
rnacentral:rRNA from 1 species